UGAACGGCAGCACGGACUGGUCUGGUGGCGAGUGGCGAACGGGUGAGUAAUGUAUCGGAACGUGCCCUAGUAGCGGGGAUAACUACGGCGAAAGCGUACAAUACCGCAUACUGCCCUUCGGGGAAAGCGGGGACCUUCGCCUCGCACUAUUAGAGCGGCCGAUAUCGGAUUAGCUAGUUGGUGGGGUAACGGCUCACUCGGGCGACGAUCCGUAGCUGGUUUGAGAGGACGACCAGCCACACUGGGACGGAGACACGGCCCAGACUCCUACGGGAGGCAGCAGUGGGGAAUUUUGGACAAUGGGGAAACCCUGAUCCAGCCAUCCCGCGUGUGCGAUGAAGACCUUCGGGUUGUAAAGCACUUUUGGCAGGAAGAAACGGCACGUGCGCAACUGACGGUACCUGCAGAAUAAGCACCGGCUAAUCACGCCAGCAGCCGCGGUAAUACGUAGGGUGCAAGCGUUAUCGGAAUUACUGGGCGUAAAGCGUGCGCAGGCGGUUCGGAAAAGAAAGAUGUGAAAUCCCAGAGCUUAACUUUGGAACUGCAUUUUUAACUACCGAGCUGUCAGAGGGAGGUGGAAUUCCGCGUAGCAGUGAAAUGCGUAGAUAUGCGGAGGAACACCGAUGGCGAAAGGCAGCCUCCGGGAUAACACUGACGCUCAUGCACGAAAGCGUGGGGAGCAAAACAGAUUAGAUAAGCACCUGGUAGCUUCACGCCCCAAACGAUGUCAACUAUUGUUGGGGCCUCGGGCCUUUGAAGCAGCUAACGCGUGAAGGACCGCCUGGGGAGUACGGUCGCAAGAUUAAAACUCAAAGGAAUUGACGGGGACCCGCACAAGCGGUGGACGAUGUGGAUUAAUCUUCGAUGCAACGCGAAAACCUUACCUACCCUUGACAUGUCUGGAAUCCCGAAGAGAUUUGGGAGUGCUCGCAAGAGGAACCGGAACACAGGUGCUGCAUGGCUGUCGCCGUAGCCAGUUUCGUGAGAUGUUGCUAACCCGUAACGAGCGCAACCCUUGUCAUUAGUUGCUACGAAAGGGCACCCACGAGACUGCCGGUGACAAACCGGAGGAAGGUGGGGAUGACGUCAAGUCCUCAUGUCCGGUAGGCUUCACACGUCAUACAAUGGUCGGGACAGAGGGUCGCCAACCCGCGAGGGGGAGCCAAUCCCAGAAACCCGAUCGUAGUCCGGAUCGCAGUCUGCAACCCGCCGCGUGAAGCCGGACCGCUAGUAAUCGCGGAUCAGGCAUGUCGCGGGUGAAUACGUUCCUCAAGGUCUUGUACACACCGCCCGUCACACCAUGGAGUGGGUUUUACCAGAAGUAGUUAGCCUAACCGUAAGGAGGGCGAUUACCACGGUAGGAUUCAUGACUGGGGUGAAGUCGUAACAAGGUAA
rnacentral:rRNA from 1 species